AGGGAUCAUUAUUGAGUUCUAUAAAAACUCCCAAACCCCUGUGAACAUACCUAUUGUUGCUUCGGCGGGAUCGUCCCAGUGCCCUUGUGGUCUGGAAUCAGGCGCCCGCCGGGGAAAUCAAACUCUGAUUUUUUUCAGUAUCUUCUGAGUGGCAUAAUGCAAAAUAAAUCAAAACUUUCAACAACGGAUCUCUUGGUUCUGGCAUCGAUGAAGAACGCAGCGAAAUGCGAUAAGUAAUGUGAAUUGCAGAAUUCAGUGAAUCAUCGAAUCUUUGAACGCACAUUGCGCCCAUUAGUAUUCUAGUGGGCAUGCCUGUUCGAGCGUCAUUUAAACCCUCAAGCCUUGCUUGGUGUUGGGGAUCAGCCUUUAUCGGCUGGCCCUGAAAAAUAGUGGCGGUCUCGCUGUAGCUUCCUCUGCGUAGUAGCACAACCUCGCUCUGGAAAGCAGCGCGGCCUAGCCGUUAAACCCCCUAUUUUAUAAGGUUGACCUCGGAUCAGGUAGGAAUACCCGCUGAACUUAA
rnacentral:misc_RNA from 1 species